GCGUAUUCCCCCAGGCAAGCAGUCCAGACAAGGCACCCGGUGUAUGUGUGAUGCAAAGUUCCGAUACCCUAAGAAUACCUAAUCUAUAGAUACCUGCCGCUGCCGAUGUUGCUGUUACAUUGCAUUAGACACUCGCAUAUGUAAUUGGCUUUUGUCAUGUACAGCAUCAUGCCUCAUGACACGUUUGUACGAAGCAGACGUCUGGAUCCAGCACAGCAGGGUGGUUAAGCAGCGUGGUUGUGAACUUAUUCCCGCACAACUUGCUCAUACUAUUCUCUCUGCCCGCAUUUCUGCGACCUGAUACCGCUCUAAAUGAAGCAUUAGGUCGGCACACGCGCGGUUCCCCAGCGUGGGUAACGUCGGAGAGCCUCAACAGCAGGGGGAGGUUAGGUCUGAGAUGCAUAGAGGUCUCAACGCCAUCACAGCACGCCGGCGCGCCCACGAAGUUUACUGAAGUGCGCUCGUUUUGGAGCCAAGUAGGUUGCUGUUUAGGACUACCACGUCUUAAUGGUUUAGCACGGAGCGGAUGCUGGAUGGCUCCCAGAUAUCGCCGUCGCCUCUGGGCUUUACCGUAAGGGUCGUUUGUUUUUGUUGUCUUGGAAUGUGGCCAGUUUUGUAUAUAUAGCGCUUUAACGUUUGGCGCUGCGUGCGCGUGUUCCUGUUUUCCUAGCACUUGCUUGGCGCGUUGGAGUAGUCGCGUUGCGGGCGUUUUAUCCGCGCAUUACGGCGUUACUAAAGUCUUUAAUGUUGCAGCACAGUCUUGCACUCUGUAUGUGUAAGGAAAAGAGGGAACUUAAAUAACUGCAGGAGAGUCGGGCAGCAGGCGAACUGCAGCCGUCCCACUUCUCACCGGAUCUUCCCAAUCCUGGUCGGCCUUCCAUUCUUGUGUAGUGGAUAUAGGUAAAGCUACAAACAUAUUAUAGGUAACUUUUAUUUUGGCUGCAAGAGGAGCUGCUCAGACAAUUACAAAUUGCUGGCAAAAGGGCCAACUUCAAGGCUAGCUUUCGGGAGACCGAAUGAAAUUAAAAUGGGUUUGCAUGGUUGAGCUAUCACUAUUUGAAAAUGAUGUCAUCGUGACGGAUGGCAAGUCCGCAGCCGCCGCACGCCUCGACACAUGUCGAUGCUUGGUGCAUACCUAAUCUCACAUAAUCUAUAGAUAAUGGAUUGUAUUCUUGAUAGACUGGACAUGACUGUUGGACUCUAUCGGUACAGUUGCUGUGUGGCACCCCUAGAUGAACAUCCAGGACACUGGCAAAAGGGCGCCUGCAAUCCAGCGACGUUGAAUUCCAUGAGCAAGCUUGACAGUAUUUAUAGGGGUUCAUGAACUGCGCGUGAUGUUUACAG
rnacentral:lncRNA from 1 species